UCCCUGGUGGUCCAGUGGUUAAGAAUUCGCCUUCCAAUGCAGAAGACCCAGGUUUGAUUCCUGGUCAGGGAA
rnacentral:tRNA from 1 species